UAGGACUCUCGGCAAUGGAUAUCUUGGCUCUCGCAUCGAUGAAGAGCGCAGCGAAAUGCGAUACGUGGUGCGAAUUGCAGAAUCCCGUGAACCAUCGAGUUUUUGAACGCAAGUUGCGCCCGAGGCCAGCUUGGCCGAGGGCACGUCCGCCUGGGCGUCAAGCAUUGAAUCGCCCC
rnacentral:rRNA from 3 species